AUUUCUUAUACUUGUAUUGUCGUCUCUGAACAUCAAUUUGAUAUUCAUAUGAUGUUUCCUGUGUCCCAUGGACAAGUUUUCUCAAACCCUGUGGCCUCUGGUGCUUCUACUAAUCAGCUCAUGGGCUGAAGGGACUUGCCUUGUCUCAGGUGUUUAUUGCUAUGAACUUCCCUCUUAGAACUGUUUUUGCGGUAUCUCAUAAGUUUGGAACCUCGCUCUGUUGCCCAGGCUGGAGUGCAGUGGCAUGAUCUCGGCUCACUGCAACCUCCACCUCCCUGGUUCAAGCAAUUCUCCUGCCUCAGUCUUCCGAGUAGCUGGGAUUACAGGCAUGUGCCACCAUGGCCAGCUAAUUUUCUGUAUUUUUAGUAGAAACAGGGUUUCACCAUGUUGGCCAGGCUGGUCUCGAACUCCUGACCUCAAGUGAUCCACCCACCUCGGCCUACCAAAGUGCUGGGAUUGCAGGCGUGAACCACCACGCCCAGCCUCACAGGUACUUUCUAAUCAAAGUUAAAAGAACUGGCAAAAUAAAUAAAAUAAAAUAUUCUGUCUGACUAAUAUACUGCUCAGUUUCUCCGAAUCUCAAAUAUCAUCCACCUCA